rnacentral:ncRNA from 1 species
UAUGCCCUCAAGAUAGUUGGAGCCGGUGCAAGUUCUAUCGGUAAAGCCAAUGGAUAGAAGCAUUGACGGCACAACGUCCUUGACCUGUUCUCAAACUUUAAAUAGGUAGGACAGUGCAACUAAUCCAUUGAGUGUGCCAUGAAAUUGAUACCUCCAAGUGGGCCAUUUUUGGUAAGUAGAACCAAGGUUCUUAAGAUUGACCCG